ACGACCUUCCUUGAACAGGAUCUGUUUUAUGGGCUCGUACCUCUGUAUCCUUGAGUUCUAAAGAGACAGGAACCAAAGUCUGGUGGUUAAGAUAUAACCGUGGGAUCAGAGUGUGAUUAACGGCUAUGGUGAGACCUGUAGAGGGCCCAUCAAGCUGUAGAGGAUCGUUUCUGAGGUUGAUUCCAACCUUGGGGUGGUCGCACGGUCGUCUGACAGACC